GACGAACGCUGGCGGCGUGCCUAAUACAUGCAAGUAGGACGCAGUUGCGAACGGGUGAGUAACGAGUAGGUAACUGCCUAUUAGAGGGGGAUAACUAUUGGAAACGAUAGCUAAUACCGCAUACUAGUAGAUGGACCUGCGUUGUAUUAGCUAGUAGGAAGGGUAAUUGCGUACCUAGGAAACGAUACAUAGCCGAACUGAGACGGUGAUCGGCCACACAGGGACGUGGACACGGCACAGACACCUACGGGAGGCAGCAGUAGGGAAUCUUCGGCAAUGGGGGGAACACUGACCGAGCAACGCCGCGGGAGUGAAGAAGGUUUUCGGAUCGUAAAGCUCUGUUGUGAAGGAAGCGGUACUUAACCAGAAAGUGACGGCUAACUACGUGCCAGCAGCCGCGGUAAUUC
rnacentral:rRNA from 1 species